GCUUUUGUGGUGUAGUUGGUUAUCACAUGCGCUUCACACGCGCAAGGUCUUCGGUUCGAACCCGAACAAAAGCA